AUUGAACGCUGGCGGCAUGCUUUACACAUGCAAGUCGAACGGCAGCGCGGGCUUCGGCCUGGCGGCGAGUGGCGAACGGGUGAGUAAUACAUCGGAACGUGCCCAGUAGUGGGGGAUAGCGCGGCGAAAGGCGGAUUAAUACCGCAUACGACCUGAGGGUGAAAGCGGGGGAUCUUCGGACCUCGCGCUAUUAGAGCGGCCGAUGGCGGAUUAGCUAGUUGGUGGGGUAAAGGCCUACCAAGGCGACGAUCUGUAGCUGGUCUGAGAGGACGACCAGCCACACUGGAACUGAGACACGGCCCAGACUCCUACGGGAGGCAGCAGUGGGGAAUUUUGGACAAUGGGCGAAAGCCUGAUCCAGCAAUGCCGCGUGUGUGAUGAAGGCCUUCGGGUUGUAAAGCACUUUUGGCGGGAACGAAAAGGACUGUGCUAAUACCACGGUUCGAUGACGGUACCCGCAGAAUAAGCACCGGCUAACUACGUG
rnacentral:rRNA from 1 species